AUUGAACGCUGGCGGCGUGCUUAACACAUGCAAGUCGAGCGGUAAGGCCCUUUCGGGGGUACGACGAGCGGCGAACGGGUGAGUAACACGUGGGUGACCUGCCCUCAGCUCUGGGAUAAGCCUGGGAAACCGGGUCUAAUACUGGAUAUGACUCCAUGACGCAUGUUGUGGGGUGGAAAGCCUUGUGCGGCUGAGGAUGGGCCCGCGGCCUAUCAGCUUGUUGGUGGGGGAUGGCCUACCAAGGCGACGACGGGUAGCCGGCCUGAGAGGGCGACCGGCCACACUGGGACUGAGACACGGCCCAGACUCCUACGGGAGGCAGCAGUGGGGAAUCUUGCGCAAUGGGCGAAAGCCUGACGCAGCGACGCCGCGUGAGGGAUGACGGCCU
rnacentral:rRNA from 1 species